rnacentral:rRNA from 1 species
AUUGAACGCUGGCGGCAUGCCUUACACAUGCAAGUCGAACGGCAGCACGGGUGCUUGCACCUGGUGGCGAGUGGCGAACGGGUGAGUAAUACAUCGGAACAUGUCCUGUAGUGGGGGAUAGCCCGGCGAAAGCCGGAUUAAUACCGCAUACGAUCUACGGAUGAAAGCGGGGGACCUUCGGGCCUCGCGCUAUAGGGUUGGCCGAUGGCUGAUUAGCUAGUUGGUGGGGUAAAGGCCUACCAAGGCGACGAUCAGUAGCUGGUCUGAGAGGACGACCAGCCACACUGGGACUGAGACACGGCCCAGACUCCUACGGGAGGCAGCAGUGGGGAAUUCUGGACAAUGGGCGAAAGCCUGAUCCAGCAAUGCCGCGUGUGUGAAGAAGGCCUUCGGGUUGUAAAGCACUUUUGUCCGGAAAGAAAUCCUUGGCUCUAAUACAGUCGGGGGAUGACGGUACCGGAGGAAUAAGCACCGGCUAACUACGUGCCAGCAGCCGCGGUAAUACGUAGGGUGCAAGCGUUAAUCGGAAUUACUGGGCGUAAAGCGUGCGCAGGCGGUUUGCUAAGACCGAUGUGAAAUCCCCGGGCUCAACCUGGGAACUGCAUUGGUGACUGGCAGGCUAGAGUAUGGCAGAGGGGGGUAGAAUUCCACGUGUAGCAGUGAAAUGCGUAGAGAUGUGGAGGAAUACCGAUGGCGAAGGCAGCCCCCUGGGCCAAUACUGACGCUCAUGCACGAAAGCGUGGGGAGCAAACA